ACUCAAACUGUGUGACAUUUUGUUCUUUGUAAGAAGUGCCGCAGAGUUUGUAGUGU
rnacentral:pre_miRNA from 1 species